rnacentral:tRNA from 1 species
UGGAUCACCUCCUAACAGGGAGACAAACAACGAUUUUGAUGUCUGAGUUUUUUUAUUCUUAGGCCAAAAUCCUGUCACUUUAGGUCGAUCGGUACCUCAACUUUGAAGCUAAGAGUAUUCAGCAAUGGAUAUCUGCUUAGUGGAGAUUUUUAGUUCCUAAACUUUGUCUAGUUCACAACCCAUUAGGGAUGAGACUCCUGGGCCAUUAGCUCAGGUGGUUAGAGCGCACCCCUGAUAAGGGUGAGGUCCCUGGUUCAAGUCCAGGAUGGCCCAUUCGGUGUAGGGGGUUUAGCUCAGUUGGUAGAGCGCCUGCUUUGCAAGCAGGAUGUCAGGAGUUCGAGUCUCCUAACCUCCACUGACUACCAAAAUCCCCAUCUCCAAAACCUGGAGUAUGAACUCGUAUGGAUUGUGAUUUAGAUGUGUCCGCUAGAUGACCCUAGCUUCUUGUCAUUUUAAGGCAUGGAAAUAGUUCCAUGAUAUUUAAUUGAUAGGAUGCUGGGCUCGAUUCAAUGUAUUGAGAGAUCAAUGCAUUGUUUUGAUGUCUGGUCGAACCUUGACAACUGCAUAGUAAGUCUGGAAAGAAUAAAGCAUCUUUAUGGAUGCAUCAUUCUUGAGUGUCAAUUCACGAUGGGAUGGUGUUAAUUCUAAAGCAAGAGCCGAGACUCCAGCAUGUUCUUUCAAAUGUGUCGAGCAUUUGAGAGUUUGAUUUUAAUUUCUAUUUUUAGAAGUUAGAAGAAUCUGUUUCAACGACAGCAAGCGUGUUGGAGAUACAUUGGUCAAGCUACAAAGGGCUCACGGCGGAUACCUUGGCACACAGAGGCGAUGAAGG